AAAAGACAUUCAUAAAGGGAGCGACCUUAAUCCAGGAACUUAGACCAUCCAGAUUUCCUUCUGAAGCAAUCCACAAAUUGCUGUUCAGCCCCUAAAGAAGAUGCGGCCACCUCUUCCCGACAGAGGGGAGCCCACAUUUGUAACCAUCACUGCAGCCCGAGGGGCUAGGACCUGUCUCCUAGGACCAGCUGAGGACAAGCACGGAAUGCCUCGCUGGCCGCACGGACUCAGCCACGCGGAGCUGGCGGUGGCCUCUGUCCCCAGGUCACCUGGCCCACCGCGGUCACAGCCCCCUGGGGCGCCAACCACAGGACGCCUCCCGGUGGCGCAAAGGGCCAGUGCCGCCUGGAUGUGAGCCCCACUCCUGCGCCGGAAGCAGACGCAGGGGUGCAGGCGAAGGCCACGUGGCUUGGGACUCGCUAUGACUUGCCCGAGGGCGCUCUGACCAAGCACCCCAAAGCUCCCAGCAGCCCUGCUCAAAGCCUGCACCAGGCCUCUCUGCGAAUGAGGAAACCGAGGCCGAGGGCACAGAGCGGUACUUAAAAUCAGGCGGAGAGAGCCAGAGUCCACCCCAGCCCAGAUCCACCUGCCGCCAGCCCUGUCUACCUUCCGCACCCCGCCCGCCGCUCAUCCAGAGGGGAGGGAGUCAGAACAGCCCCUCGGCGCAGGUGAGAUGGGGACUGACGCACCCCCCCCCCCCCCGCACCUCUCCCUCUGCUCAGAAUGCCCGGCCGUGCUCCACCAGGGAAGGUCUCCAGUCCUCCAAGGGCACCUCUGGGUUGAUCCCCAGUUCUGCUGUGAAGGCACCACCCCUCGUCCGGCCCAUGCCAAGCUCCCCGCAGCUGACGUCUCUCUUCUCCACCUGUGCCCAGGGGGUGGCAGUUCCCCAAGGUUGUGUCUUUCUUUGGGUUUUGACUUACCAGCGUUUAACUCUUGCUGCCCACCCUCAGGUCUCCGUAUGUCCAGGAGUGAGGUCUGACCUUAGGGGGUGUCCCUCCUGCAGGCCCCGCACUGGCUCCCUGUCCCCUGUGCCCUGUGAGCCCAAGAGGCCCUUCCCCUGCGCCAUAGGUGCUAGUUUCCACCCUCUGGGCCUCUGCUCAGCUAUCGCCUCUGCCUACAGUGCUCUCCCUUUCUUCCUUUCUACCCAGUGGUAUAUUAAGUUCUGUCUUUUGUCUCCUUUAAUCACCUGGGGACUCAGCGAGGGAAAGAUGCUAGUCAAUCUCAUCUUUAUGUCCCCACAGCACCUAACGCGGGACCUGACACGUAGAUAUUCAAUAAAUGUUCGUGAAACGAAUGACUUCUGCUCCGACGCGAGAAGCUCGCAGACAAGAUGA
rnacentral:lncRNA from 12 species